GACGAACGCUGGCGGCGUGCUUAACACAUGCAAGUCGAACGAAGUGGCGAACGGGUGAGUAACGCGUAAUCAACCUGCCCUUCAGAGGGGGUCAACAGUUGGAAACGACUGCUAUUACCGCUUACUGAUGGAGGGGAAUGCGUCUGAUUAGCUAGUUGGAGGGGUAACGGCCACCCAAGGCGAGGGUCAGUAGGCGGUCCGAAGGGAUGAACCGGCAACUUUGGACCGAGACACGGCCCCGAAUCCUACGGGAGGCAGCAGUGGGGAAUCUUCCGCAAUGGAGGAAAGUCUGACGGAGCCAAGCCGGGUGAGUUAUGAAGGCCUUCGGGUUGUAAAGCUAUGUUAAGCGGGGCGCGGUACCGGAAGAGAAAGCCACGGCUAACUACGUGCCAGCAGCCGCGGUAAUAC
rnacentral:rRNA from 1 species